rnacentral:rRNA from 1 species
CGCCUGCCCUGUGACGAAAGUUUAACGGCCGCGGUAUUUUGACCGUGCGAAGGUAGCGUAAUCACUUGUCUUUUAAAUGAAGACCUGUAUGAAUGGCACAACGAGGGCUAAGCUGUCUCCUUUCCCCAGUCAAUGAAACUGAUCUUCCCGUGCAGAAGCGGGAAUCCAACAUAAGACGAGAAGACCCUAUGGAGCUUUAGACUCCGCAGCAGACCACGUUAAAACCCCUCGACCACUAGAAAGAAACAAAGUGGCCCCUGCUGCGAGUCUUUGGUUGGGGCGACCGCGGAGAAACAAAAAACCCCCGCGUAGCACGGGCCACACCCCUGAAGCCAGAGCCACACCUCCAACGAACAGAAUGUCUGACUUUCAAGAUCCGGCAUUGCCGAUUAACGGACCAAGUUACCCUAGGGAUAACAGCGCAAUCCUCUUCUAGAGCUCAUAUCGCCAAGAGGGUUUACGACCUCGAUGUUGGAUCAGGACCACCUGAUGGUGCAGCCGCUAUUAAGGGUUCGUUUGUUCAACGAUUAAAGUCCUACGUCAUCUGAGU